rnacentral:rRNA from 1 species
GAUGAACGCUGGCGGCGUGCCUAAUACAUGCAAGUCGAGCGAACAGACGAGGAGCUUGCUCCUCUGACGUUAGCGGCGGACGGGUGAGUAACACGUGGAUAACCUACCUAUAAUACUGGGAUAACUUCGGGAAACCGGAGCUAAUACCGGAUAAUAUAUUGAACCGCAUGGUUCAAUAGUUAAAGACGGUUUUGCUGUCACUUAUAGCUGGAUCCGCGCCGCAUUAGCUAGUUGGUAAGGUAACGGCUUACCAAGGCAACGAUGCGUAGCCGACCUGAGAGGAUGAUCGGCCACACUGGAACUGAGACACGGUCCAGACUCCUACGGGAGGCAGCAGUAGGGAAUCUUCCGCAAUGGGCGAAAGCCUGACGGAGCAACGCCGCGUGAGUGAUGAAGGUCUUCGGAUCGUAAAACUCUGUUAUUAGGGAAGAACAAAUGUGUAAGUAACUAUGCACGUCUUGACGGUACCUAAUCAGAAAGCCACGGCUAACUACGUG